rnacentral:rRNA from 1 species
UUUAAAAACUAUAAGGCGAAAUGAAAGUGAUUAAUUUAUUAAAUUUGGGUUUAAGACUCAUUUUUGAAAUAAAGACUAGUUAAAUUUAGGUUUAAUUAAGUUUAAGCAUAUAUGAUGGGACCCGAAAGAUGAUGAACUAUGCUUGAACAGAGUGAAGUCAGGGGAAACUCUGGUGGAGGCUCGUAGCGAUACUGACGUGCAAAUCGUUCGUCUGAUUUGAGUAUAGGGGCGAAAGACUAAUCGAAUCAUCUGGUAGCUGGUUUUCUCCGAAAUUUCCCUCAGGAUAGCUGACAUUGAUAAUGUACAAUUUUAUAACGUAAAGCGCAUGAUUAGAAGUAUCUGGGUUGAAAUAAUUUAGACUGAUUCUCAAACUUUUGAAGUCGUAAGAAUUAAUAGUACCAUUUUGAUCUAUACUAUUAAUU